GUUGGCGGCGUGGAUUAGGCAUGCAAGUCGAACGAAUCCAGCUUUGUAGCAAUACCGAGCUGGGGGAAGUGGCGAAAGGGGCAGUAAUGCGUGGGUAACCUACCCCGGGGACCGGGAUAGCCACCCUAACGGGUGGGUAAUACCGGGCGAUGUAGCGAGAUCUCCUGACCUUGCUAUGAAACGAAUUUCGCCUCGUGAGGGGCUCACGUGGUAUUAGCUAGUUGGUGGGGUAACGGCCUACCAAGGCGAAGAUGCCUAGCAGGUGUGAGAGCACGACCUGCGCCACUGGCACUGAGACACUGGCCAGACUCCUACGGGAGGCUGCAGUCGAGGAUCUUCGGCAAUGGGCGCAAGCCUGACCGAGCGACGCCGCGUGCGCGAUGAAGGCCUUCGGGUUGUAAAGCGCUGUCGAGGGGGAGGAAAGCCGUUAA
rnacentral:rRNA from 1 species